rnacentral:sRNA from 1 species
CACCACAAACGAAGAAUGUCAAGCUUGACAUGAUCUAACAGUUAUCUUUC